rnacentral:rRNA from 1 species
AAACGUAGGAGACGAGCGUUAUCCGGAUUUACUGGGCGUAAAGCGCGUGCAGGCGGCAUGGCAAGUUGGAUGUGAAAGCUCCCGGCUUAACUGGGAGAGGUCGUUCAAAACUGCCAGGCUUGAGAGUGGUAGAGGGAAGCGGAAUUCCGGGUGUAGUGGUGAAAUGCGUAGAUAUCCGGAGGAACACCAGUGGCGAAAGCGGCUUCCUGGCCCAUUUCUGACGCUCAGACGCGAAAGCUAGGGUAGCAAACGGGAUUAGAGACCCCGGUAGUCCUAGCCGUAAACGAUGUGAACUAGGCGUUGGUGGGUUCAAAUCCAUCAGUGCCGCAGCAAACGCGAUAAGUUCACCGCCUGGGGACUACGGCCGCAAGGUUAAA